GUGGGGAAUAUUGGACAAUGGGCGAAAGCCUGAUCCAGCCAUGCCGCGUGUGUGAAGAAGGUCUUCGGAUUGUAAAGCACUUUAAGUUGGGAGGAAGGGCAGUAAGUUAAUACCUUGCUGUUUUGACGUUACCGACAGAAUAAGCACCGGCUAACUUCGUGCCAGCAGCCGCGGUAAUACGAAGGGUGCAAGCGUUAAUCGGAAUUACUGGGCGUAAAGCGCGCGUAGGUGGUUUUGUAAGUUGGAGGUGAAAUCCCCGGGCUCAACCUGGGAACUGCCUACAAAACUGCAUGACUAGAGUACGGUAGAGGGUAGUGGAAUUUCCUGUGUAGCGGUGAAAUGCGUAGAUAUAGGAAGGAACACCAGUGGCGAAGGCGACUACCUGGACUGAUACUGACACUGAGGUGCGAAAGCGUGGGGAGCAAACAGGAUUAGAACCCCGUGUAGUCC
rnacentral:rRNA from 1 species